GGGGGCGAAAUGGGUUCGACGGGAACGGUAAAGCCGGGUGUGCAGGCCGGAGAAGGAUACUCCGUAAAAAACCAACGGCAAACAAUUCCCGAACGUGAAAUCGCUCUCGCUGCUUAAUUAAUGCAGCGACCUCCUCUUGAGCUUACCCGUGGGCUCAAGAAGGGGGACAGAUACACGGGUUAGGGAAAUACCUUCUCCCCUCGGGUAUUUCCUGAAAUCUUAGAGGGGAUAGCCUGUGGAUACCCUGCCUGUGGGGUCGCCACAGGUGAAAGCCAAAACACAGGCUAAGCCUGUAGAAAGCCCGUGCUACGGCCGUUCUCGGACGGGGGUUCGAUUCCCCCCGCCUCCACUU
rnacentral:tmRNA from 1 species